UGAAGGUUGGGUAACACUAACUGGAGGACCGAACCGACUAAUGUUGAAAAAUUAGCGGAUGACCUGUGGCUGGGGGUGAAAGGCCAAUCAAACCGGGAGAUAGCUGGUUCUCCCCGAAAGCUAUUUAGGUAGCGCCUCGUGAAUUCAUCUCCGGGGGUAGAGCACUGUUUCGGCUAGGGGGCCAUCCCGGCUUACCAACCCGAUGCAAACUGCGAAUACCGGAGAAUGUUAUCACGGGAGACACACGGCGGGUGCUAACGUCCGUCGUGAAGAGGGAAACAACCCAGACCGCCAGCUAAGGUCCCAAAGUCAUGGUUAAGUGGGAAACGAUGUGGGAAGGCCCAGACAGCCAGGAUGUUGGCUUAGAAGCAGCCAUCAUUUAAAGAAAGCGUAAUAGCUCACUGGUCGAGUCGGCCUGCGCGGAAGAUGUAACGGGGCUAAACCAUGCACCGAAGCUGCGGCAGCGAACGUAUCACCCAAGACAACUUUACGGAGUUGACGAUUGACGGAGCGAAGCGACGUCAAAGCGUUCAUUAAAGUCGAGUUGGCUUAGGGAUACGUUCGUUGGGUAGGGGAGCGUUCUGUAAGCCUGUGAAGGUGUGUCGUGAGGCAUGCUGGAGGUAUCAGAAGUGCGAAUGCUGACAUAAGUAACGAUAAA
rnacentral:rRNA from 1 species